rnacentral:tRNA from 1 species
GGGGGCAUAGCUCAGUUGGGAGAGCGCUUGCAUGGCAUGCAAGAGGUCGUCGGUUCGAGCCCGAUUGUCUCCA